rnacentral:tRNA from 1 species
AAAAACUUAGGAUAACAUAAAACCAAGAACCUUCAAAGUUCAAAAUAAGGGCGCAAACCCCUUAGUUUUUG